rnacentral:tRNA from 1 species
GCGGGAAUAGCUCAGUGGUAGAGCACCACCUUGCCAAGGUCAGGGUCGCGAGUUCGAGCCUCGUUUACCGCUCCA